rnacentral:rRNA from 2 species
GCAUAUCAAUAAGCGGAGGAAAAGAAACCAACAGGGAUUGCCUCAGUAACGGCGAGUGAAGCGGCAAAAGCUCAAAUUUGAAAUCUGGCGCCUCUGGUGCUCGAGUUGUAAUUUGUAGAGGAUACUUCGGGUGCGGUCCCGGCUUAAGUCCCUUGGAACAGGGCGUCAGAGAGGGUGAGAGUCCCGUCUUGAGCCGUGGGUCCGCCCCGUGUGAAGUUCCUUCGACGAGUCGAGUUGUUUGGGAAUGCAGCUCUAAGUGGGUGGUAAAUUUCAUCUAAAGCUAAAUACUGGCUGGAGACCGAUAGCGCACAAGUAGAGUGAUCGAAAGGUUAAAAGCACCUUGAAAAGGGAGUUAAAUAGCACGUGAAAUUGUUGAAAGGGAAGCGCUUGCGGCCAGACUCGGUCGCGGGGGUUCAGCGGGCCUGCGGGCCUGUGUACUCCCCCGCGCUCCGGGCCAGCAUCGGUUUCGGCGGCCGGUCAAAGGCGUCUGGAAGGUAUCGUCCCCCGGGACGACUUAUAGCCAGGCGCGCAAUGCGGCCAGCCGGGACCGAGGAACGCGCUCCGGCACGGAUGCUGGCAUAAUGGCCGCAAGCGGCCCGUCUUGAAACACGGAC